UACGGAGGAGGCAAGCGUUAUCCGGAAUUACUGGGCGUAAAGCGCGUGUAGGCGGCCGAUUAAGUCUGGUGUGAAAGCCCGGGGCUCACCCCCGGAAGUGCGCUGGAAACUGGUCGGCUAGAGUAUGGGAGAGGAAAGUGGAAUUCCCGGUGUAGCGGUGAAAUGCGUAGGUAUCGGGAGGAACACCAGCGGCGAAGGCGGCUUUCUGGACCAAUACUGACGCUGAGACGCGAAAGCGUGGGGAGCAAACAGG
rnacentral:rRNA from 1 species